GAUGAACGCUGGCGGCGUGCCUAAUACAUGCAAGUCGAGCGAACAGAUGAGGAGCUUACUCCUCUGACGUUAGCGGCGGACGGGUGAGUAACACGUGGAUAACCUACCUAUAAGACUGGGAUAACUUCGGGAAACCGGAGCUAAUACCGGAUAAUAUAUUGAACCGCAUGGUUCAAUAGUGAAAGACGGUUUUGCUGUCACUUAUAGAUGGAUCCGCGCCGCAUUAGCUAGUUGGUAAGGUAACGGCUUACCAAGGCAACGAUGCGUAGCCGACCUGAGAGGGUAAUCGGCCACACUGGAACUGAGACACGGUCCAGACUCCUACGGGAGGCAGCAGUAGGGAAUCUUCCGCAAUGGGCGAAAGCCUGACGGAGCAACGCCGCGUGAGUGAUGAAGGUCUUCGGAUCGUAAAACUCUGUUAUUAGGGAAGAACAAAUGUGUAAGUAACUAUGCACGCCUUGACGGUACCUAAUCAGAAAGCCACGGCUAACUACGUG
rnacentral:rRNA from 1 species